CACACGGUAUAGCUGUUUUUCUUUCAAAAGGCACACGGUAUAGCUGUUUUUCUUUCAAAAGGCACACGGUAUAGCUGUUUUUCUUUCAAAAGGCACACGGUAUAGCUGUUUUUCUUUCAAAAGGCCCACGGUAUAGCUGUUUUUCUUUCAAAAGGCACACGAUAUAGCUGUUUUAGAGACCCUGGUGCCUUUUCAGCAUGCGUACAAUAGUCGGCUAACUUAUGGCUUCCACAUUAUUGAACAUGUUGUUAUUGUCCAAGAUGUGCUGCUGAAUUUCUGUAAGGUGAAUAUCAUUUCUGGCCUGAACCAAAUUGACCACAGCCUGCUCUUGUUGGUCAGUCAGAAUUUUGCCUCUGCGUCCCCUAUUUGGCCUAGUCUCAAUUCUGCAGGGAAAAUUACAGUAAGAACACAUUUAGUCACAUCACCUACUCUGUGCUCAGAUUUCAUUGGACACUCUUUGCUGUUGCUGCCGCUGUCUUGGUCCCUGGCCUUGUCCUCUACCACGUUCCCCCACACCUCUCAAACGAUGCCCACGACCACCUCUCAGAAGGGGUGCUUGUCCCCUGACAUUCGUUUGACCAAUACGUCUUCCUCGUCUUCCUCCUCUCACUGCUUGACCUCUGUUGUGACCUGGAUCACCUGCCGGCUCCAUGUUAUCACUAUGUUGUGGUAGGUGGAUACCACUCAGUCCACUAUACAGCUCCAUGUUAUCACUAUGUUGUUGUAGGUGGAUACCACUCAGUCCACUAUACAGCUCCAUGUUAUCACUAUGUUGUUGUAGGUGGAUACCACUCACUUCACUAUAUACUCGUACCACAAUGUGAAAUCAAUCAUCAGUAACGAGUUGUCAGUAUUGGGAAAGCAAUUACAAGGGCCUGCAUACAUACACUCACUGGCCACUUGCGUGUUAAUGCAAAUAGCCUGCUCCUUUGAACAGAGAAUCAUGUGGCUGCCUGCAACUCAACAUAUAGAGUAUAUAGAGUAGAGAGCUUUAGUUGUUGUUUGACCAAACAUUAGAACGGGCAAAAGAUGCGUAAUCUCAGCAACUUUGACCGUUGUAUGAUUAUUGAUGCCACACAUGGUGGUUUCAGCCUCUCAGAAACAGCUGCCCUCCUGGGAUUUUUACACACUACAGUCUCUAGAGUUUACAGAGAAUGGUGCGAUAAACAAAACACAUUCAGUGAGCGGCAGUUCUGUGGGCAAAAACACCUUGUUAAUGAGAGAGGUCAGAGGAGAAUGUCCAGACUCAUUCAAGCUAACAGAAAGGCCACAAAUGGUCAAAUAACAUCUGUUUAAAACAGUGGUGUGGAGAAGGGCAUCUCUUAACGUACAACACCGUGAAUAAUUCAGGCUGUUGUGGAGGCAAAAGGGGGUCCUACCCAGUACUAGAUAGGUGUACCUAAUAAAGUGGCCAGUGAGUGUACAGUAAUGUCAAACCUGAAAACAUGGUCUGGAAAAGUGUUAAAUGGAUAUUAGAAUCAGUGUCUGAUAAAGAAUGAUGAUGAAACAUUACAUCCAUAGAUAAUGUAGUCCAAUUGGUUCAUGUUCCACAGUAAUUGGUGUCAAUGUAUCUCGUUAUCCGGAAAUGUUCAUGAUCUAAACAUGGAAUAUUGUUCGUCAGUUUCCAUAAAACUAUACAUUAAGAGUAAUGCAACAGUUACUUAUCAUUUUGAGCAGCUGUAUCAAUUGAUAGUUAGAUCAUUGUAUUUAAAUUAAUAGACAGUCAUCUCAGAUGUAAUGUGUGAAUUGCAUUUUGAAAUGGUAACACUUUGAUGUGCUGCGUCAAAGUUGUGUCAUUUUGAACAGGUGAUUUUAGUUCAAUGAACAAAUGAUCUUAGCUUUAUGUGUAUUGUAUCCAAGCAAUUGGAAAAAGUGUUAGAGUUUUGAAAAAUGUGCAUUUUGAUGAUCGGAUGUGAGUUUUGUGUCUAGAGUUUUGAAAAAUGACAUCAAGGUUCUGAAAUUAG
ensembl:lncRNA